ensembl:snoRNA SNORD83 Small nucleolar RNA SNORD83
GCCACAUGAUGUUUCCAUUUUGAAAAGUGAGAGCUUUGCGCAAUGACGACCGUAAAUCUAUCACCCUUGACUGAUGGCU